rnacentral:ncRNA from 1 species
AUAGUGUCGCAAUAGUAAUUCAACCUAGUACGAGAGGAACCGUUGAUUCGCACAAUUGGUCAUCGCGCUUUGUUGAAAAGCCAGUGGCGCGAAGCUACCGUGCGCUGGAUUAUGACUGAACGCCUCUAAGUCAGAAUCCGGGCUAGAAGCGACGCGUGUGCCCGUCGCCUGUUUGCCGACCAGCAGUAGGGGCCUCGGCCCCCAAAGGCACGUGUCGUAGGCUAAGCUCGCGUGGCGGACGAGCCGCGCGGGCCGCCUUGAAGUACAAUUCCCAUCAAGCGACGGGUAGAAUCCUUUGCAGACGACUUAAAUACGUGACGGGGUAUUGUAAGUGGCAGAGUGGCCUUGCUGCCACGAUCCACUGAGAUUCAGCCCUGCGUCGCUCAGAUUC